CUCGUACAAGAUAGUAAUGCGCACAUGGAGAAAUUAUUUAGUGCUCUUGUAGCCAAUUCUAGUAAUGCUCUAACUUUAUAGUAAUUGGUUUAAACAAUGGGAUUUACUGGUUUUUUUGUUUGGGUUGUGCCCAAUAUGUAUACGUAUGUCAUUUAUUCCCUGAUGUAGAGCAUUGCUUCAAGAGCACAAAUAAUCUCUCGUGCACGUGUCUGAAGUAGCAGCUAUGCAUAAUACAAAUUGGAUUGCUCAUUUUACCAUUUUAGUUAUUGAUAGAGUUGUUAUUUGUGGCAUGGCUUAAAAAAAAGUAUACACAAAACAGUUAACAAAUACCCGACGAAGGCUGGCUUGUUUGAGCCUGAAGUUCGGUCUGAAUUUCGCGUCUAGCCUAGCCCAGGCCGUCCAACCUAAUCAAAAAUUCAAAAAAUUCCGGGCUGAGCGACCUAAAUUGCACAUAAAUUUCGAGUCAAGCUCAGCCUAACCAAAAAUAUUCCAAAAAAAAAAACGCGACUGUUCUUGCCACUCCAAUCAGCAACGAACUGGCCGGAUUCGAAUAUUAGGUUGGGACACAAAAGUUCACCCGCCAACUAACGCGGCUGGACUCACCCAAUAAUGCCCUGCCCAAACGCAUACCAAAAACCGACUAAACCGAUCCAAGCCCAAAUCUAACCCAAUUUCCCUCUACAUGGCUAGUGAAAUCAAUAAUGGUACAGGGCAGCUACACUAAUUUUCUUUGCAUCAGGUCUUGUCUAUGUAAAAGUUUUAAAAGUAAGCCCAUUUCUAACCAUUCGGCCCAUUCCCAGCCAGCAACGGUGAACAAAUAGCACUAUGGUUAAAAUACAAAAAUAGUCCAUAAAGUAUGUCAUCUAUGUCAUGUUGAUCCUCAAAGUUUUAAUAUUAUCCAUUCCGUCCUUAAAAUUUAUCAAAUUCAAUAAAAGUGGUCCAAUUUCAUAGUGCAUAAAAAAUACUAAUGGAAUUGUCUAUGAUAUACAACAACCGUCUCUAAAGCAUUCAUCUCAUGGUACUUUGGAUCCCAAACUAUUAAUUUUGUAAAUUCCAUCCCUAAACACUGUAAAGCUCUUUGGAUGAAGAAAACUUAAAAUUUAAUUGAGAACUUAUCAAUAAUAAUUUAUUAUCUCGUACUACUACGUAGGGUAGUCUCAUUCAAGUGUUUGAAUGAUUUAGAAAUAUUUUUAAAAUUAUUCAAAAAACGGAAUCAUGAUAUCAGGGAUUACAUUUUUAUUUUUCUUUGAAAUUCAAACAUUUCUCUACAAUAUUAGAGAAUGGAGUUGAGAAAAUUCAAAAAUUUUGGAAUCUAAGUGACAUAAAACACAUAUUUUCAGGAUCAUUGGUGUCUGAUAUAAGUAUUGUCGUUUAGCUAUUUUGAUGGUCGUUUGUAAUUGGAUAAAUUUAAUUCAAUUUGAAAAUUUUAAAAAUGAAAUUGACAAUUGAAAUUUUAAGGACUAAAGUGAUACAAAAUGCAUAAUUUAAGGACUAUUUUGUGGGCUGGGAAUGAUUCGAAUUGGGCUAACUUUACAAAGACAGGGCUGUCGAAAAUUGGAUUUCAUAAGGCCCAUAAGAAACUAGCGGACUAUAAAGCAGAGAAGCUAGGGAUAUGAGGUACUGAUCUGAUUAAAAGGACCACAAAAGCAAUUUGGGAAGUGAAAUCGCAAAGGAAAAGAAACUUUAGAAAAAUAAAUGAAAUAAAUUUAGGGUGUUGUUUAACUACGACAAAUUCAUGACAAACGCCAAACGGCCGGAUCGGCCAGGCUCGUCAGGUUUGAACGGAAUUGUCAUUCUUAGUUGCAAGAAGCUUUUAUUUACAUGUGGGAGCUGAUCAACUAUUUCUCCUUUUAUUUGGAUUUUUCAAUAUUUGCAACAAGCAAUUAACAAGUUUAAAAGAACUAAUUCAAAUCGUUGUACAAGAAAGUAAUGCGCACAUGGAGAAAUUAUUUAGUACUAUUGGAGUCAAUGUUAGUGGUGCUCUAACAUUAAAGUGAAUGAUCUAAACAGUGAAAUUUACUAUAUUUUUGUUCGGAUUGCGCCCAAUAUAUAUACGCAUACUAUUUAUUCACUGGUGUAGAGUAUUGCUCCAAGAACACAAAUAAUCUGUCGCGUACAUGUGUGAAGUAGCGGCCAUGCAUAAUACAAACUAGACUCUUGGCAUAUGCAAUGCGUGUGCAAAAAUCACAAAACUGUCAUGUGUGGAGAAAGUGGGUACUUACUUGUAAAUUAAAAAUAAUUAUUUGGAUCACUCAUUUUACCAUUUUAGUUACCAAUAAAAUUGUGAUUUGCGAACACGGCUUAAAAAAAAAUUCUACACAAAAAAAUUAACAAAUAUCCUAGGCGUUGUUGUCUUUAUAUAAUAAUAUAGAUGUAACAAAACCACUGUCAGUGUAUAUAUACAUAUACAUAUAUAUCAUUGUGAGGUAGGGAUGGAAAAAAAAAAUGUGGCGCGGGGCGGGGCCGGAGGUUGUUGUCACGUUCCCCGAUCCCCGAAUUAUUUUCAGGUCCCCCGUCCCCGCCCCGAUCCCCGGCGGGGAUUUUUUUAUACCCCCAUCCCCGAACUAACGGGACGGGAUCCCGCCCUGCAAUCCGAACCCCGCAACAAAACUCACAGGUUGUGCGCGUGUGUUUGUGAGAGAGAGAGAGGGAGUAAACCUGAGAGGAUGAGAUAGUUGUCCAA
rnacentral:lncRNA from 1 species